rnacentral:rRNA from 1 species
ACCUGGCUCAGGACGAACGCUGGCGGCGUGCCUAAUACAUGCAAGUCGAGCGGAGUUAUUCCUUCGGGGAUAGCUUAGCGGCGGACGGGUGAGUAACACGUAGGUAACCUGCCUAUAAGAUCGGGAUAACUAUCGGAAACGAUAGCUAAGACCGGAUAACUGGUUUUCUCGCAUGAGAGAAUCAUGAAACACGGAGUAAUCUGUGGCUUAUAGAUGGGCCUGCGGCGCAUUAGCUAGUUGGUGAGGUAACGGCUCACCAAGGCGACGAUGCGUAGCCGACCUGAGAGGGUGAACGGCCACACUGGGACUGAGACACGGCCCAGACUCCUACGGGAGGCAGCAGUAGGGAAUCUUCCGCAAUGGACGCAAGUCUGACGGAGCAACGCCGCGUGAGUGAUGAAGGUUUUCGGAUCGUAAAGCUCUGUUGCCCUAGACGAACAGCAGGGGAGAGUAACUGUCUUCUCCUGUGUGACGGUAUAGGAGAAAGAAAAGCCCCGGCUAACUAC